GGAUUUACUUUGCUCAGUAUGAGAGUCUCUAGGUCCGUCCAUGUUGCCGCACUGGCAGCUUUUUUUAAAGCCCCAGGUGAUUGAGUGCUGCAGCUGGAAUAGGUGAUCUGACCAGAGCCGUGUGGACCUCUCCAGCAGAAGGAGUGGUGGAUGUUUCUCCCAGUUAAUCCAGAGCAGACUUCCCAGGCUUUGUGAAAUGCUACUGUUCUCCCAACUGAGAAUCACCAGCUUAAAGAGAGGCCCAGAGAGAAGUCACGCAGACAGACCGAUGGACAGACAGGCUCUGAGAUGAAGAAACCCAGGAAGCCUUCCUGACUGCACCGCCCAUGGGUGCCCUUGUCCCCCAGGAGUCCUGCGGCUCCAGCUUUUUUGGCUCUCUGUGGAUUUCUCCGGGCUUUGGCUCCUUGUUUCUGCAGUCUGUAGGAGAUGCGGAGAGCUGCAGCUGCAGACAGCUGGUUGCACCUGCCGUCCUGGAGUUCUCAUUUCUUCUCACACCUGUCUGUCUAGAAAGGAGCAGAAACCCUGUGAUGGAGAGCAUACUAAGGCACGAGUGUGUGCUCAGUCAUGUCCAACUCUUUGGGGCCUCCUGGACCUGUAGCCUGCCUGUCCAUGGAAUUUUCCAGGCAAGAAUACUGGAGUGGCUUGCCAUUUCCUAUUCCAGGGGAAUCUUCCCAACCCAGGAAUCAAACCUGCCUCUCUUGCUACUGCUGCAUUGGCAGGCAGAUUCUUUACCACGGCGCCAGCUGGGAAGCUGAGGAAAGAAUACUGUGUAUCCAUCAAGUCCCCUUUCCUUUUUCCCGGAACUACAUGUCCCAGCACCCCCUGCUGUCAGGUCAAGUCACAUGACUGAGUUCUAGGCAAUGGACUGUGGGUAGGAGCGAUGUAUGCCACUUUCGGGGUGUCCUCUAAAAACACCACAGGCAGUCUUCUCUGUGUGCUUGCGCACUCUUUCCCCUUGCGGUCUGCUGAAAACCCAGUGAAGAACAUUGAGCCCCGGGGGAUGGCUGAGCCACUGGACUGAAUUGUUCCGUAAUCUGAUGUAGUAGAACCCUGGCUCCUGUUCACCUCCACUAGACUGGAACAUUAGGUUUAUUAAGCCACUGAGGUUUCGAGGACUGGUUAUUAAGCAGUUACCUAACUUGAUAAUACAAAGCCUGAAAGGGGUAUCGGUAUCCUUGUUUUUCCAGGUGGGAAACUAACUCAGAGAUGCUAAGUAACUUGCCAAGGUCACACGGCAAAGAAGUGGCACAUCUGAGAUUUGAGCCCAGGUUAUAACUUUCCCACUGUACCAGGCUAGCAGGGUAGUUCAGUUCAGUUCAGUUCAGUCGCUCAGUCGUGUCCGACUCUUUGCAACCCCAUGAAUCGCAGCACGCCAGGGUAAGUGCCCUGUAUAAAAGGUGCAUUAGCGUUUGUCUUUUGAGGUGUCAUAGAAAGAAAGGCUGGAGAAGGCAAUGGCACCCCACUCCAGUACUCUUGCCUGAAAAAUCCCAUGGAUGGAGGAGCCUCUUGGGCUACAGUCCAUGGGGUCGCUAAGAGUCGGACAUGACUGAAUGACUUCACUUUCACUUUUCACUUUCAUGUAUUGGAGAAGGAAAUGGCAACCCACUCCAGUGUUCUUGCCUUGAGAAUCCCAGGGACGGGGGAGCCUGAUGGGCUGCCAUCUAUGGGGUCUCACAGAGUCGGACAUAACUGAAAUGACUUAGCAGCAGCAGCAGAAAGACACACACACAGCAGGAUUAGGAGAUGGAGAGGGAGGGAGAGGCUGGAUGGCAGGCGUGCAGAAUGGCACAUCACAGUGGCCAAGAGAGGUAGCCUUUCAAGGAAGGGGUGGUCAGUUGUGUCUAAUGAGACCCAGCCAGGUGGAGGAGGAAGAGGGUUGAGGACAGGCCAUUAAAUUUAAUGGCCUUGGUGACAGUUUCAGCUGAGUGAUGGGGCAGACGCCAGGUUGGAGGGAGCUUGGGGACAAGUUGGUGGUUGGAUUGGUGAAGGGAAGAAGAAAAAUAAGGGAUAGUUUUAAGCAGAGGCCAGGCCAAGGGAAGGAAUUUUGAGGAGAAUCAGUGGUUAGAAGGAGAUUAAAAAUAAAAAAGGGACUCAUGACCUACAUAAUGUGAAGCACCUGCGAUGAUUUUCCUUUUCUGCUUGGUUCUGGUGAGCACUCCCAGAGCUAAGCUGACAGGUCAGGAAGCAGGGAGGGAGAGGUUCAACACAGACAGCAGGUCAUGCAACAUUAACUGGGCUGCAAGGCUGUCCCCUGAGUGGGCAAGCGGGUGGUGGCUGAUGUGCUGUGAUCGGAGAACCUGAAAUUCUUCAGGCUUGUCUAAGGCUAUCUAUCUUUUUCUUUAUAUUAAAUUCGAAAAAUUUUCUUCAUAUUCCUUCCAAGUUUUUUUUUUUACCUUUAUUGAGGUAUAAUUGACAAAGCUAUAAUAUAUUUAACAUAUACAGUGUGAUGAUUUGAUAUAACAUACUUUGUGAAAGG
ensembl:lncRNA